UGGGGAAUAUUGCACAAUGGAGGGAACUCUGAUGCAGCAACGCCGCGUGCGGGAUGACGGCCUUCGGGUUGUAAACCGCUUUCAGCCAUGACGAAGCUUUUGUGACGGUAGUGGUAGAAGAAGCACCGGCUAACUACGUGCCAGCAGCCGCGGUGAUACGUAGGGUGCGAGCGUUGUCCGGAAUUAUUGGGCGUAAAGAGCUUGUAGGCGGUUUGUCGCGUCGAUAGUGUAAACACGCAGUUUAACUGUGUGCCUGCUGUCGAUACGGGCUGACUAGAGGAGGGUAGGGGAGAAUGGAAUUCCCGGUGGAGCGGUGGAAUGCGCAGAUAUCGGGAGGAACACCAGUGGCGAAGGCGGUUCUCUGGACCUUUCCUGACGCUGAGAAGCGAAAGCGUGGGUAGCAAACAGG
rnacentral:rRNA from 1 species